AAUCUUGCGCAAUGGGCGAAAGCCUGACGCAGCCAUGCCGCGUGAAUGAUGAAGGUCUUAGGAUUGUAAAUUCUUUCACCGGGGACGAUAAUGACGGUACCCCGGAGAAGAAGCCCCGGCUAACUUCGUGCCAGCAGCCGCGGUAAUACGAAGGGGGCUAGCGUUGCUCGGAAUUACUGGGCGUAAAGGGCGCGUAGGCGGACAGUUUAGUCAGAGGUGAAAGCCCAGGGCUCAACCUUGGAAUUGCCUUUGAUACUGGCUGUCUUGAGUACGGGAGAGGUGAGUGGAACUCCGAGUGUAGAGGUGAAAUUCGUAGAUAUUCGGAAGAACACCAGUGGCGAAGGCGACUCACUGGCCCGUUACUGACGCUGAGGCGCGAAAGCGUGGGGAGCAAACAGGAUUAGAUACCCUGGUAG
rnacentral:rRNA from 1 species